CUAUAUAUUUACCAUUCAAGAAGGUUAUCAAAUCUAUGGUGGAACUUCGGCGACCUGAAAUCUCAUUUCCUCCGUUCUGGUAUUCCUGAGCAGUCGUUGAAGUUAAUAUUCAGAGUUACUUCCUCGGUUGCCAUUUCACUGCCGAAAGAGUUGAUUUUUCUUAUUUUUAUAUUUUUUAUAUGUGACUGUGGAGUGACUUGUCAGGUAUGUACUGGGAAGUUUUCCUCAACACGUCUCCGCAGAAAAUCAAUUGAAAGGCUUUGGUGGGUCUACAAGCUGGUACACUGAUAAUAUUUCGAGAGGAGGUUCUUACACCAGCCUUUCGACGACUAAUCUCUAUGCGGCAACCUUACGAUAGAUUUCCCACAGGCCACAUCCAAAUGUUUGCCCCACAGCAUGUGUGUUGAACCCUAGACAGCUUCUGCGAAGCUUCCUUCCUGCCUCAAUUCUUGGGAAUAUCUCUUUCGAAUCUUGGUACCUCGGCAUAACUUCUAAAAUCCCAGUUUCUUAAUUAAACAAUAAAAAAAAAUCAAUGGAUAGCAGUUUUUUGGGUAAUCAGAGGGAUACAUAUUAUAGAUAUGUAAUUAUCGAUUAUCUGUUAUCAUCCCUUUUUCUUAAAGGUUUUGUUUUUUUCUUCUUAUAAAACUGUUGAACUGCAUAAUUUAUAAGAAGACAAAUUUCCUUCAAGAAUUAAUAUUACAAAAUAGACAACAUCAAAUUUGAAUUACAUCUCUUGCCCAAAUCGAGGGGCCAAAGUUUCUCAUGAAUGUUUCGAGAAUAUAUAUGUAAGCACAUGCACAUACAGACGACAAUAAUUACAAGCUCAUGCAAUUUCCUCGAAGUUUCCUCCUCUUCGGCAGAGGGCUAAACAAAAUCGGCGUGCAGCUUCAGCUUUUUGGAAGUGGAGGCAUCUGUAGAAUUUAACACAAACAGGAGCUUGUCUAGGAAGUGAUGGAAUCUGAUGAUCUUGCUUGUGCUAAGGUAGGGAGCCCUUUGGGCCACAAAAGAGCUCCUUAUACUUAUUCGAGAGUGGCUACGUCGGUGGAGGAAUCCGGCUGUCUUCCUUGGUGGAACUCCCGUCAUGAAUAGCUUCAAUAAAACCCAUUCUUUUGCCUUGAUAGUCACCUUCUCUGUCUGGUACUCCUUGAAUUUAUUUGGAAUAACAUUAGGAUAAUGAUAAGAUAGUCCACAACGAUUUGGACUCUCUUCCAAUUGUAAUGUAUGCCUUACUAUCUUGACCUUUAAGUGUUUAGACAUUAGUAUUAUCUAUUUUGGAAGCUUUACAAAAGCUAUAGAGGUCAUCUUCCUAUCA